rnacentral:rRNA from 1 species
UGGGGAAUAUUGCACAAUGGACGAAAGUCUGAUGCAGCGACGCCGCGUGAGGGAAGAAGGUUUUCGGAUUGUAAACCUCUGUCCUCGGGGACGAAACAAAUGACGGUACCCGGGGAGGAAGCCACGGCUAACUACGUGCCAGCAGCCGCGGUAAAACGUAGGUGGCGAGCGUUGUCCGGAAUUACUGGGUGUAAAGGGAGCGCAGGUGGGAUAUCAAGUCGAAUGUGAAAUCUAUGGGCUCAACCCAUAAAUUGCGUUCGAUACUGAUGUUCUUGAGUGGAGUAGAGGCAGGCGGAAUUCCCGGUGUAGCGGUGGAAUGCGUAGAUAUCGGGAGGAACACCAGUGGCGAAGGCGGCCUGCUGGGCUCUAACUGACACUGAGGCUCGAAAGCGUGGGUAGCAAACA